rnacentral:rRNA from 1 species
UACGGGGGGGGCAAGCGUUGUUCGGAAUUACUGGGCGUAAAGGGCUCGUAGGUGGCCAACUAAGUCAGACGUGAAAUUCCUCGGCUUAACCGGGGAACUGCGUCUGAUACUGGAUGGCUUGAGUUUGGGAGAGGGAUGCGGAAUUCCAGGUGUAGCGGUGAAAUGCGUAGAUAUCUGGAGGAACACCGGUGGCGAAGGCGGCAUCCUGGACCAACACUGACGCUGAGUGAGCGAAAGCCAGGGGAGCAAACGGG